rnacentral:rRNA from 1 species
GACGAACCGUGCGAACGUUGUUCGGAAUCACUGGGCUUAAAGGGCGCGUAGGCGGGCCGGCGAGUCGGAGGUGAAAGCCCCCAGCUCAACUGGGGAAGCGCCCCCGAUACUGCCGGCCUUGAGGGGGGUAGGGGCGUGCGGAACUUCCGGUGGAGCGGUGAAAUGCGUAGAUAUCGGAAGGAACACCGGUGGCGAAGGCGGCAGCGCUGGGCCCGCCCUGACGGCUGAGGCGCGAAAGCCAGGGA